rnacentral:rRNA from 1 species
GAAAGUAAACAAGGGCGCAUGGAGGAUGCCUAGGCUCUCGGAGGCGAAGAAGGACGUGAUAAGCUGCGAAAAGUUACGGUAAGGCGCAAAUAGCCCUAGACCCGUAAAUAUCCGAAUGGGGCAACCCGGCCAGCAAUGGCCAUACCGCCAAGCGGUAAGCCAACGCGGGGAACUGAAACAUCUAAGUACCCGCAGGAAAAGAAAAUAACAAUGAUUCCGCCAGUAGUGGCGAGCGAACGCGGAACAGCCCAAACCACCCGUGUUACGGCACGGGUGGGGUAGAAGGAUCCACGAUACGGCAAGAAAUAAGUUAGCGGAAUACGAUGGAAAUCGUAGCCAAAGACGGUGACAGCCCGGUACGCGAAAACCGACAGAAGCCCAGUGGACACCUGAGUAACCCAGGACACGAGAAAUCCGGGGCGAAUCAGCGGGGCCCAUCCCGUAAGGCUAAAUACUCCCGAGAGACCGAUAGCGAACCAGUACUGUGAAGGAAAGGUGAAAAGAACCUCGAACAGAGGAGUGAAAGAGACCCUGAAACCAUGCGCCUACAAGCGGUCGGAGCAUGUUAAAAUGUGACGGCGUGCCUUUUGCAUAAUGAACCUACGAGUUACUCUCGCUGGCAAGGUUAAGCGAUUCAGUCGCGCAGCCGAAGCGAAAGCAAGUCCGAACAAGGCGUACAGUCAGCGGGAGUAGACGCGAAACCAAGUGAUCUACCCUUGGUCAGGUUGAAGGUUGGGUAACACCAACUGGAGGACCGCACCGAUAAGCGUUGAAAAGCUUACGGAUGAACUGAGGGUAGGAGUGAAAGGCCAAUCAAACUUGGAGAUAGCUCGUACUCCCCGAAAUGCAUUUAGGUGCAGCCUCGAAGCAGAGUGAUAGAGGUAGAGCGACUGAUAAGAUGCGAGGGCUUCACCGCCUAUCAAGUCUUGACAAACUCCGAAUACUAUCACUUGAUCUUUGGGAGUGAGGGCAUGGGUGCUAAGGUCCAUGUCCGAAAGAGGAACAACUCAGACCACCGGCUAAGGUCCCGAAAUAAGGGCUAAGUUGAAUAAACGAAGUAAAACUGCAAAGACAGCUAGGAUGUUGGCUUGGAAGCAGCCAUUCAUUUAAAGAGUGCGUAACAGCUCACUAGUCGAGGAGUUUUGCAUGGAUAAUAAUCGGGCAUAAGCCCUUUACCGAAGCUGUGGAUGUCGUAAGACAUGGUAGGGGAGCAUUCCGGCGGCGACGAAGGCCGUCCUCGAGGACGACUGGAGCUUUCGGAAAAGCAAAUGUAGGUAUAAGUAACGAUAAAGGGGGCGUGAAACCCCCUCGCCAUAAGACUAAGGAUUCCUGAUCAACGCUAAUCGGAUCAGGGUAAGUCGGGCCCUAAGGCGCAGCCGAACGGCGCAGCCGAUGGAAGAAACGGUAAAGAUUCCGUUACUGGAUAUAGGAGCGAUGUGGAGACGGAGAAGUGACACACCCGCCUGCCGACGGAAGCGCAGGUUAAAGGAAGUAGGUAAACGCCGGGCAGGCAAAUCCGCCCAGCGUGCCGAAGCUGACAGUAUCGAGAGCCCCCGGGCAAUCGAAUAGCGGUGGUAACCAGGCUCCCAAGAAAAUCCGCUAAGCAAAUUCUAUAUCCACCCGUACCCCAAACGGACACACGUAGUCGGGUAGAAUAUACCAAGGCGCUCGAAAGACUCACGGUUAAGGAACUAGGCAAAUUGACCCUGUAACCUCGGGAAAAAGGGUCCCCAGUAAGAUGGGGCGCAGAGAAUAGGUCCAGGCAACUGUUUAACAAAAACACAGGGCUGUGCAAAAUUUCAAGAUGAAGUAUACAGCCUGACACCUGCCCGGUGCCGGAAGGUUAAGAGGAGAGCUAAUCGCAAGAGAAGGCUUGAAUUGAAGCCCCGGUAAACGGCGGCCGUAACUAUAACGGUCCUAAGGUAGCGAAAUUCCUUGUCGGGUAAGUUCCGACCCGCACGAAUGGUGUAACGAUCUGGGCACUGUCUCAACUACCCACCCGGCGAAAUUGUAGUACCGGUGAAGAUGCCGGUUACCUGCGGCAAGACGGAAAGACCCCAUGGAGCUUUACUGUAGCCUGAUAUUGGGUUUCGGAAAUCUAUGUACAGGAUAGGCGGGAGACUGGGAAACAUGAGCGUCAGCUUGUGUGGAGUCGAUGUUGGGAUACCGCCCUUAGGUUUCUGGAAUUCUAACCUGCGGCCGUGAAUCCGGUCGGGGGACAUUGUCAGGUGGGCAGUUUGACUGGGGCGGUCGCCUCCGAAAAGGUAACGGAGGCGCUCAAAGGUUAGCUCAGCACGGACGGAAACCGUGCCUCUGAGUGUAAACGCAAAAGCUAGCCUAACUGCGAGGGUGACGGCCCGAGCAGUAACGAAAGUUGGAGUUAGUGAUCCGGCGGUAUGUGAAUGGAAAUGCCGUCGCUCAACGGAUAAAAGCUACCCUGGGGAUAACAGGCUGAUCUCCCCCAAGAGUCCACAUCGACGGGGAGGUUUGGCACCUCGAUGUCGGCUCAUCACAUCCUGGGGCUGUAUUCGGUCCCAAGGGUUCGGCUGUUCGCCGAUUAAAGUGGUACGCGAGCUGGGUUCAGAACGUCGCGAGACAGUUCGGUCCCUAUCUGUCGUGGGCGCAGGAUAUUUGAGGAGCUCUGUCCUUAGUACGAGAGGACCGGGAUGGACGUACCUCUGGUGCACCAGUUGUCAUGCCAAUGGCACGGCUGGGCAGCUAUGUACGGAACGGAUAAACGCUGAAAGCAUCUAAGCGUGAAGCCGACUCCAAGAUUAGAUAUCCCAUCGUAUAACGAGUAAGACCCCUUGAAGACUACGAGGUUGAUAGGCUGCGUGUGUAAGUGCCGUGAGGCAUUCAGCUUGGCAGUACUAAUAGGUCGAGGGCUUGACCAC